UGUUCUGUGGCUCCAGUUGAUUUAAGCGCCGGACUAGCGAUACGGAGUCGUGGGUUCGAAUCGCACCAAAACAA
rnacentral:tRNA from 1 species